UAGCUGUUGUUGAUCGGAGUAAAGGUUGUUUGGAGGAGUUUAUUGCGAGAGUAGCAUAUAUCUUUUCCCAUCUCCCUGUCGACUUUUACAAAGAAUUGCAGAGAGGUAUUAAUUUCUUUUGUGUAAAAAUCAUGUAAGAUAUAAUCAUAACCAGCUAUUUUACCUCGAGAUUUGGGUUUAUCAUCACCUAUUAUCUCAGCUCAAAUUUUUACUAUUUGUAUAUUAUCAAUUGAUUAUUCAUUUCACUUUUUUUUCAUUCAUAGAUGUUUUCAUCUGAAAGUACUAAAUCUUGGACAUAGAUUCGGUGCUGAUGAACAUGAUUUUAUCGAAGCUUGUAAGUAUUUUCCAUUAUUGGAAGUUCUUGAUUGCGUAAAUACCAAAUUUAGUGAAGUUGGAAUUGAAUCAAUUGGCUGUUCAUGUCCAAAUCUGAAAUAUUUUGGCUUCCGUAAUAAUCUUUUUAUUGAAUCACAAUAUGAAUUCAAUAAUUCUUUAGCACUUAAUUGCUAUGACAAAACAUAUGCGUGGUUUGCACAAAUUGAAAAUUGGCGAAGACAUGAUGGAUGAUGAUGGUUUGCUGGCCAUUCUCGAUGCAUGCUCUCAUCUUCAAUUAUUAAUUGUUCGUAAUUGCCUCUAUCUUAAAUUCAGAAAAAAUCUGGAAGAGACGUUGAUCAAAAUUAAAUUAAAAUAUUAUAACGUUCUCGACUAUGAUUUUGAUUCUCGAUAAAAAUCAAAAAAUUACGAUUCGAAGUACGUGAUUGAAUCAUUUGAUAAUUUUGAUUUCGAAGAUCGAUUUGAUUUUUAUAAAUGUUACCUGAACAAUAUUGUGUAAUUAUUUUGAUGGAUUAUUAUUCUCCCGCAUGGAUUAAAGUUUGGAAUAAGUAAUGUAUUUUUGAAUGAUUAAAUGUAUUCAUGGUUAAUUUCUUAUUUUUCAAUGGUUUUAUUAAUGAUUAAUUAGGGGUCAAAUCAUGUGAAAUAUUUGAUGAUGAGAUAAUAUAAGAUAUCUGAUAAUGUUCGUAUAUUACUAUCUUGAAAUUUAGGUUUAUCAUGCAUACGCACACAUUAUCCAGAUUUUGAAACACGAUUGAUCGAGAUCUAAAUGAUUGUUGGUGAUUUAAUAUAUAUAUAUAUAUAUAUAUAUAUAUUAAAUCACCAACAAUCAUUUAGAUCUCGAUCAAUCGUGUUUCAAAAUCUGGAUAAUGUGUGCGUAUGCAUGAUAAACCUAAAUUUCAAAGAUUAAGGUUAUAUAAGGUGAAAGUCAUAUUUUCAAUAAUACUAGUUAAUUAACUAUUAACCUAAUUAUAUCAAGCAAGUUUUACGUGCAAUAAUGGAUGGUUGGAUUAUAUAUAUAUAUAUAUAUAUAUAUAUAUAUAUUGCACGUAAAACUUGAUAUAAUUAGGUUAAUAGUUAAUUAACUAGUAUUAUUGAAAAUAUGACUUUCACCUUAUAUAACCUUAAUCUUUGCAACUAAAAUCCGAAUCUGUCUUGUCGUUCAAUUGAGUACACAUUGAUAAAAUCCAAUGAUUUGAUCUCAUAUCAGAGGAUUUUAAUCCAAUCGGUGUCAAUGAACGGGGCCAAAUAUUCACCCUAAACACCCUAUAUGCUAGCUAAACCCAAGUAUCGGAGCCAAACCCAUACUUACCCUUACCUAUAUGCGAGCUUUCAGAAUGACGGAGUAUUCACAUGAAGAAGAGAGAAAGAGAGAAUGAAUCGAACACUUCCUUAUUCCAUCAAUAAACUAUGUUUAUAUUGAGUUACAUUUAUGAUUUAGUUACUAACCUAAGUUAGUUAUCUUAACUGCCCAGUUUUUCCAAUAUGAACAUUUUAACUAUAAAAUACGACACAUGCCAUCAUAAAUGAAUUUUAAUUUUAUAAUCUAAAAUACAUGGUAUCUAAAUGUAUUACCACUCUUUCAAGAAUAAUAACGAAAAUUAUAAAGCGAAAAUUCUAUAGAAUCGUAAUUAACGAAAUCAUUGACUAGAAAGCUAUAAUAUUUAAAAUGAAUUUUACCAGAUAUAUUUUUAAGCUUUUCUCCGAUCUUAAUGUUCAAGCAAUUACGUAUGCGGAGAGAAGAGAUCAACUUCAAGAAUAGAAAGCAAACCAACGACUUAAAACUAUUUGGCACAUUCGGCACACCAG
rnacentral:lncRNA from 1 species